rnacentral:lncRNA from 1 species
UUAGCUCUUGGUGAAAUGGGUUGGAGUGGCAUCGCACAGGCAUGAUAUGAUGUGUUCUUUAUUUUUAUCUUCUUGUGUUUAUUUAUAUUAUUUUUUUGUCAAGUUUCUCCGACCUCUUGUUUUGCAUUGCACACACCUCUUCGUGGCAACUAAUAACCACGUACGUGUAAUUUAUGUGUGUCAACUAAUAUAUAAAAAAUUAGUGGUGGAAAACUUUCACAACUCUUUAAUUGUAAUAACUUGUAAUUGUGACUAAGGUGUUUCUGCGGUCUAAAAUUUGUUAUUCCAGUCCCCCCUUCCACUCUAACAGCCUCUAGGAGAAUUCACUUCAAAACAUCUUUCGGUACAAGAAAUCAAAGUGUGUACAUAGUUUUAGAUAUAUUUCCAAUAUUUAUGUAGUCGCUUUGCAUGAAAGAUGAUAGGUGACUGUAAAUAUGUCAAUUAAAAGGGCAAUGCAUGUUUUUCCAAUAUAUCUUUUUUUUCAAUACUCACUCUCUUAGAUAUAGCGAUUCUUUAGUUUUGUGCUUAUGGGUCGAUGACAGCGAAAGAAAGAGGCAUAGUAUUAGGCAAACUUUGGAGCGCCGAGGAAGUGCAGUUUAGGAUUUUUCGCAUGUCAGUCGCGAUGCGCUUGCAACUCUCAUCGUCAGGACUGUCUCUAGCUGAGUCUGGAGACACCACACUAC